AGACUAUGAUCCUUUUCCUUAUGGGCAUGGGUUGUAUGGCUUCUAUGCUUUUAGGCCUUGGGCCUUGUAUUUCAAUAUCCAUCUGAAAGGUAAGGUGAGAUUGCAAUCUUCCUCAAUAGGGUGAGAUUGCGUCCAUUUGAAAGUAGUACUCCUGGCCAAUGUUUGUGGGUGUGUUACUUGAAAUUAGCCAUUUUUAUUGUAUAGAAUAAGUCUCCUGUUUAUAGCAGCAAUGCCAGUGGAGGUUUAACAGAAAUUUUAUCUUGAUAAGUCAUGACCCUAAGACAACAUUUUCAUGUAGGGUGAAUGAUGAAUUACUUGCAAGACGAUCAUAUCUUUCAUAACCAGCUGAUUCCCCAUAGUAUUAUCGUUCAACUAAUCAGAUGUGAUUCCAUAUAGCAACAGGAUCACUGCUGCUUUAGGAAUAAAGGUUAUGGGCCCUCUAGAAGCUUGGACGUUUCAAACUUUAGCAUUUUGAAUCUUUUUUCCUAAUUGCUUUGAUGAAAUGCGCAACUGUGAUCGCUGCUGAGGUCCUGGCUGAUGAAAUUUACGGUUUUUGUUAAUGUUAGCCUGGAAUUAGGAUGUGGAUUUCUUGGCCUUCUGGCCUAUAUGCAGAUGAAGAAUUUAAUGGGAUGGUUUGAUGGCUACCUAAGUUUAGAUCUUGCAUAUAUGCUGUAUUAUAAAUGCAAACUAAGACAACUAAAAGUACUUGUAUGUUCAUGAGAUGAUGGGAAGAUCUUUUAUUUUUUAUUGGAUCAUGUAUGGAACG
rnacentral:misc_RNA from 1 species